ACUGGAGAAUAGCUCUCUAAUCAGCUAAUUAACUCAAAACACCUGCAAAGGUUUCUGAAGACUUUAAUCUCUCAGUCUGGUUCUGAUGCUCAUAAUGAACUUUUCGUCAGUAUUCUAAUUUUUUGAGAUGCUCUUCUAAAAGAUGCUUCAGUGUUUUAAUGUUGGCAGCACUAUUAUGUCACAUAAGUGGGAGAAAUGGAACAAUGGAGACGGUCUUUAAAUGUUUCUGUGUUGUCCUCUCAAGACAGACAAUUUUAUAUCAGCUGUCAAAUGUCCACUAGCCAAGUUGUUCUAGUAACGUUACAGUUAAAGCAGGCGUGGAGGCAUCAGAUCCUCAACAAGAAUCUUGUGACAAAUUUAAAAAGUACCUUUCUCUCUCUCUCAAGUGUCCUAUUCCAGACAAUAAUCCCACACAGCCCUGCCGACAGCAACAGCGUUACUCAAUAUAGCGGUGUGGGGAAUUAAUUAAUGUGAUAACAGCCAUGGCUAACGUUUUACAAGUUAUACAGCUUCCAUCAUGUAACUAAGGACUCUACCGCUAGCUUAUUACGUUUAUUACAAGACAUACUGAUGUGACGUCCAAAUAAAAGACUCGUAACUACCGUUAUGUAAAAGGGUUAAUUGAUUUGCUUCUAAUUGCUCGUUUGAGCUGUAAGUAAACUUUAACGUAAUUAAUAACUGAUUCAUAGUUAACUGUUAACGUUGGUCUCAACAAAAUCUAACGUUAGUUGUGCAAAAUAAUGUUACCCCAUUUAUAUAUUAUAAAGCAUUUAAAACCUUGUGAAGUAUAAUGUCAAUAACAGAUAUGUGAGUUAUUUUAAUAUUUUCCGGUGUCUUACCUUGAUGAGCUGACGACCAUAAACUGGUAACAAAACGGCCACAGGUUCCAACCUCCACCGUACAGCACCGGGGGUUUAGAAGCUACCUCUGCUAAAGCAGAGUAGCAUAUAGCACUAGCUCCUUAGCAUGAGCUAACUCGGUCAUGUCGAGCUAGGCGGGAGUGGUUUCAGCAACACAUCAGCUCAGCUCCACCCACGACCUGCCUCUUUGCCCAUUUAUGGUUAUCCGGGAGUGACACGCGGUGCCAAGAUGGCGACGGCCAGCUUCGCCCAAUUCGGGCUUUAAAACUGCUCUUCAGAAACCAACGGGUGACGUCACAGAUACUACGUCCAUUUUUAUAUACAGUCUAUGCUCUGAGGGUUGCAGACUGAUCCUUCCGUGUGGCAUCUAUGCUGAAGGUGUCUUCGUCGUCUAUUAACCAUUGAAGGCCGAGUGUGUGCUCUGGCUGACUGACUUCCUUCCUUAGUUUUACAGGUUCAAUGCUUAGUGCUUCUGAAGGAUCCACGCAAUCCAAGACUUCCUUUUGAUUUGAGUUGAAUUUUUAAAGUCUUAAUUCUCCUUCCUUGCACGACUUCUGAGCAUCUGCCAUCUGUCUCUUGGCUCCUUCUACAGACAUGACACUGGUUAGUUCGUCGUCGACAUAAUGACGAUGCCUAUGACAACUUCAAGAGGGGCUAAUGCAGAUGGACAGUUAUAGCCUAUCAGCAUACCUACAUCACAGUCUUGGAGAGGUGACAGUCUGUCCGCUAAGUGUUUGAGAUGGGGCCAUCUUUGGGCGGUUUCUUUGGUCAGGAUGUAUGACUUGUCCACUGGGAUAAAGCUCAUGGACAGUUUCUGGCUCCAGACAUUUACCAUGAGAAAAAUGUCACCAUACAGUGUGUUCUCUACAACCUUCAAAAACCACUUCUACAAACCUGACAGGCUGCAACAGGCAUCACUGCUACAGACCGACAGGAAACUACAGUGGACCUGAGGGGUUGUUUUUUUAAAUUAAGUUUGGUAACUAAUAAAUUCUUUCUGAAUUCAUAUUACAUGCUAAGUACUGAAUGUCUGUUGUUCUUAAAUCUAUAGUAGAUAGUUUUGCCUACAUUUUCAGCAUUCAAAAAGUAAUAACAAAUUAAAGAACUUCCUCUCGGGGAUCAAUAAAGUAUUUCUGAUUCUGAUUCUGAAUAAUGUGAGGAACACCCUGAAACUGACAUGCAAAGAAAAUUUCCCUCCUGUGUUGCAAAAAUGGUUAUGAAAAUGAAGUUGAUUCUGGUACUACUGAGUUAAUAAUGAGGGCAUUGUACCUUGUGAUGUUUUUGUUAUCUUCUGUGGGAUCGGUCUAAUAUUCCUGUUGGGACCUGCAGUAAUUGCUCUCAUACUCAUAUUAAUAUUCAUCUCCACAGUGAUUGGUCAUUGUAAUAAGUCUUAACCUGUUAAGUGCUGUGUUAGUUUGUUUGUGGGCAACACCCUAUAUAAGACAACCACUCCAUCACAAGCUUUGGCCUCACAAAAAACAUCUGUGACACGGUCUAGAAAAAGAUUAGACAGAUUUGUAUAUAUUUUAAUCUUCUAAAUGGAUCAUUUGCUGCAUUAAAUUACAUUAUAUUGUCAUGUGUUGUGUUUUUUGUCCACACCCUUUUUGUAUGAACAAUGAUAAAAUGUUUUCUCAUGCAAAUGCUGAAAACCUACAAAAUCUGAUAGAUGAUUUAUGGUGACAUUUUUUCGUGUAUAGAAGUUGUUUGCUUAUUGUUAAAUAAACAACUUUUUGAUGUGAUUAUUAUA